rnacentral:lncRNA from 1 species
GGUUUCGAACCUAUACCCACAUAGAUGGAGGUAAAAGAGCUCAACCAACUAGGUCAUACCUCACUGACUUCAUUAAUUUGAUCAUAUGGUCUUCUGUUAAAUUAAUGAUGUGGGGUAGAAGAGGUCCCCACUUCUAUGUUGAUGUGGAAACAAUAAAAAAUAUAUAAAAUAUACAACAUAAAACAUUGCCCAAUAUGAGAAUAAUAUUUUUAAAACAAAAAAGAUUAAAGAAAUUCCCCAAUCCCGCUAACCCAGGGCUCCCUCCACUCUCUCUCUCUCUCUCUCUCUCUCUCCCCAACACAAAUUUUACCAAACUAACCUGCAGCGAAGGACGGAUCUACACCCACUCCAACCUAGUCCUAAUUUACUAAAUAAGCUUAAAGGUGCAGGCUAACUUAGGAAUUUUAGAAACCAGUCUACCCUUCUAUACAUAAGUCAGCCUAUCACUCUAUAUAAAAAGAAGGCUACCCACUUAGCCAUCUUUAACCCCACACACAAGGAGUGGAUAAGGAAUCCACUAAACCCAAAAAAACCAACGAAAAUAAUAGAACAAAAGCCUCCAACCAUCUGACCAAAAAAAAAAAAAGGCCUCCAACUUGGACGCAAGACAAGCCAAACAAAAAAAAUACCUAAAAACCUAAAAGCAUGAGAGAAUUAAAGGAGAAGUGACUCUCUUCCUCUCCAAAAUUGUAUCAACAUAUCUUUAGUGGGUUCUUCAAUCUUAGUAAGUUUCUCUUUUUAUUUUUAUUUUAUUUUCAAUUUAAAUUGUUAUUGUUAAGUUUUUAUGAUUUAGGGUUUGUUUAUUAAAUUUUGAGUAGCGCUACGGGUGUGAUAAGAAAUUGUUUUUGAAAAAUUAUAAGUUGUGCUACACAAGUGAUGGGAGAAAGUUCUCCUGCAAGCGAGUGAUGGGAAAAAAUCCAGCACUCGUGGCAGGGAUUCCAGUUGCUUUAAAAAAAAAAUUUGUCCACCCCCAGUAAAAUUCUUGGAUCCGUCCUUGCCUGCAGCCCUCCCUCCCUGACCAACCCCCACAAACACCUCUCCCAACCUCCCCACGCGAAUCCAGGCCUUCCCCAACCCGUUAUCUCCAUUUAGCUAUUACUUUCUCUAUCUUGAGCUUAUAGCAUCAAAUAGGAAUAAAUAAUCAAUAAAUGAAACUCUAGAAUCAAUUUGCACCCCAAUAUAAUAAAAAUACUGCUUAUGCUUUCAUGAAUUGGUAAGGAAGAAGGAAAGCCACGCAUCUUUUAAUACAUUGAACAAAUAAAAUAAAUAAAAUAUAUUAACUUAUUGGAUAAAUAAAAAAUUUAUUUAUUUAUAAAAUAAAUAAAUAAAUUCAUAAUUAAAAUUUCCAUACAUAAAUAAAUAAAAAUUAAGUUUAUUGUAAUC